rnacentral:lncRNA from 1 species
AUACCAGAGGGCACGCACACACACACGCACACACACACACACACACACACACACACACACACACACACACACACACACACACACACACACACACACACCCGUACCAGAGGGCACACACACACACACACACACCCCGGCACACACACACACACACACACCCCGUACCAGAGGGCACGCACACACACACACACACCCCGUACCAGAGGGCACACACACACACACACCCCGUACCAGAGGGCACACACACACACACACCCCGUACCAGAGGGCACGCACACACACACACACACACACACACACACACACACACCGUACCAGAGGGCACGCACACACACACCCCAUACCAGAGGGCACGCACACACACACACCCCGUACCAGAGGGCAC